rnacentral:rRNA from 1 species
UACGUAGGGUGCAAGCGUUAAUCGGAAUUACUGGGCGUAAAGCGUACGCAGGCGGCUUUGCAAGACAGGUGUGAAAUCCCCGGGCCUAACCUGGGAACUGCAUUUGUGACUGCAUGGCUAGAGUUUGUCAGAGGGGGGGUGGAAUUCCACGUGUAGCAGUGAAAUGCGUAGAUAUGUGGAGGAACACCGAUGGCGAAGGCAGCCCCCUGGGAUGUGACUGACGCUCAUGUACGAAAGCGUGGGGAGCAAACAGG